rnacentral:rRNA from 1 species
CAAUAGCGUAUAUUUAAGUUGUUGCAGUUAAAAAGCUCGUAGUUGGAUUUCGGGUGGGACGCAGCGGUCACGCAUUGCGUUUGUACUGCUGCAGCCCUCCUUCUUGCCGGGGGCGGCCUCUCGGACUUCACUGUCUGGGGGUCAGAAUCGGCGAUGUUACUUUGAGUAAAUUAGAGUGUUCAAAGCAAGCUUACGCUCUGAAUAUAAUAGCAUGGGAUAACACGACAGGACUCUGGCCUAUCGUGUUGGUCUAUAGGACCAGAGUAAUGAUUAAGAGGGACAGUCGGGGGCAUUCGUAUUCCGUUGUCAGAGGUGAAAUUCUUGGAUUUACGGAAGACGAACAUCUGCGAAAGCAUUUGCCAAGGAUGUUUUCAUUGA